AUUCAACCCGCAGUCCUCAACAUAAGUCAGCCACGAACCGGUACAUGGAGGAGAAAAGAGAAAAAAAAAAGCCCAGCCCGCACGACCCUUGCUCCCCGAUCCCAUCUCGACCUCCAUCCCGCCGCCACCUCCUGCCCCGCCCCGCCCCGCCCAGCCUCACUGCGCACCGCCCGCCGCCCGCCGCCGACGCGCCGCGCACCGCAGCCGCGCCCGCACCCAUUUCCCAUCGAUGCGCCAAACGGGGGCGAUGAUGGACGGCGCCGCCCAGCUCCUGUCCGACGGAGUCGCCGGGUUCCCGCUCUCGGGGCCAACCCCUCCCCUGUGUCGGCUCGCGCAUCGGCUUGGAGGCCCCUCGGGGCUGCCGCCGGUGCGGGAGUCCUGCGCGGCCGUGAGGGCUGGGGACCAAGCGGCGGGGCCCGUGGUGCGUUCCUGUUGAGGGCUUGCUGGGGUUGGCCGGGAUCUGAGCCGCCGUCGAUGGAUUUCUCGCAGGUUGGCUACAUGUUGCUUCGGAUUUGGUACUAUCCCCAUCUGUCGCUCUCCCUCUCCCUCGGUGUGGACGCACGCACCUAAAUCCAAAACCUGAACUGAAUCAGUCGAGCGCUCGUUGCCAGAUCGUUGUACCAUCGUCCCGGUCGCCGCCGCGUCAGUUCCACACCGCUACAGCACAGCCUACCACCGCCACUCCAUUGGCUUGGAUUUGCUUGCGGCAUGGGCUGGGAACUGUACGGUGUUGUCUGAUGCAUGUUCCGCACUGGGAGGUUUGGUCGGCUGACGCUAGGUAUGAGCAGCUCUUGAGCCUGAUUGCUGGAUGUGCGCACGCAUGCAUGUAUACUUCUCACUUGCACUGCUUAUACAACACAUUGCAUGUACACCACGGCCGUGGACAGGCGAACGUGCUCCUACUCCUCACAAGGCACCCACAGUCUAUUAGCAAGCCAAUCCAAAACUUCAGCAUGCAUUUUUUUGAAAGGACAACUAAGUAUCUUUGUUAGUAACAUCUUUGUCAGAAAUUAGAAAAAACGGCAGUGCAUUAGUUGAGCUAAUCACCUAGCUUCAUCUCUUGGAUUAUGCAUUGAUAGUAUGGCACAUGUUGUAUCGUUAUAAGCAAUUUUUGUUAGGAGGUAAGAUUUUAGUGUCGUCGUUCAGUUUUUGUUACAUACAAAAUGAAUAUGAUUAGUUAAUUCUGUUUUCUUUUAAGAGGUAUUUCUCUCACGAGCCUUUGUGUUAUCCAUGUGAAUUCCACUAGAUUUAUCAUCCGUGUACCUAAAUUGUGCAUAUUAUCAAAUUUCUGGAAAAAAAAGUUGAGCGCUUAUUGUGGCCAUCAUCUGCAUAGCACCACACCUAGAGCUAAAAUCAAGUAACCUUCAUGGAUUUUGUUGACAAGAAAGACAACGAACUUAAUUUAACGGCUUGAAGUCAAUUGCACAUGUCUCAUACUGCAUUGAACCUUGGCCGAAGCACUCGACCACGACAAGCAGCAGCUCGGGAAGCCUUUGCAAUUCAUGUAUUUACAACAUCUACAGUUCAUGUAUUUACUGUCAUGCAUUGCACCUUCAUGGUUUUUGUUGUACUUCUGCAUUUGCAGCAUUUACAGCUUAAUGCAAUCAGGAAUUGGUUAUAGAUUUCAUGUGAUUUAAUUUCUAAAUGUUAACUACAGUGACAACUUAUGACUUUCAUAGGUUUUAUUUCCAUUGAGAGAGAGCGGGCAAUGGAUCGUGAGGUGGAAUGAAAUUAUAAGCAAAUUGAUCUGACCAUCUCUUGUUGUCAGGGAAUCUGUGUGAUCUGUUCUACUUUGACUUGGAGUGUACAACUAUGAUAUUGUACGUGAUGAUUUUUUUUUUGAUUCUGCUACUAGAGGUCAGUCAGAGGUGGUAAUUAUUAGUGGCAAAAAAGAGACGGUAAUUAUUACACUCUUUAUUUGCAAAAAAUGUGACUGAAACAAUGCUAAUUGCAUAUGUUUUGUACUUGUAGGAAGGCUAUGAAAGAAGUGUUCUUCCCUUAUUUUUAUGAAGCUGGGCACUGCCUCGGCUGCAAAGCGUGUGUUAUCCCAUGAAGCAGGCCCUCCUUUGCAAGGCUGACGACGAUAGCUUCAACUUCGCCGCCUAUUCUGGUCGAUGAUGUCAUUGAUAAUAACCAGGAAGUUUUCACUGCUCAGUUCAUCCAGUUGAAUCCUUCUAUUGUAAUUCUAUUCCCUACCUUUUCUUACUCGUAGGAAAUUCAAGUGUGGUACACAUGUGAGUAUCUUCUCCUUCCCUCUGUUGUAUGCAUGUGGUCAUUUGUUAUCCCGAUUAAGAAUCAAGAUCCACUACAUUCUUGAAUAUUGAAGACUGUUUUAGUUGGUCCAGAUUAAACUUGAUAAAUACAAUUUCCUUGUUGGUUCCAUCUGAGUUGUAUAAUUGAUUUGGGCAGUUUUCAGUAAUCUUAAGCUGUCUUCAGAUUUUAGCUUCCUCAAUCAUUCUGAAUUAUUUAACCUCAGUAUGAGGUACAUGUGUUCCAAAGAUUAAUCCUGAGAAAUUUGUAGUUGACCAGUUGGGUCUGUUUGAUUUGUUUAGUAGACUGCAACGGCAGUCACAAUUGUUCAGAUCUAUUCUAAAGCUGCAUUAUUAGCACUGCAAUAUCUUUGUUACUUCAACCAAAUAGUCCAGUCGUGUCUUAUUGAUUUGGACGGGUUCUUACUAAUCUUUAAGCCAACUUCAAAUUUUAGCCUGCUCGGUCAAUCUGGAUUAUUUAGUGUCAAUUUUGAUGCAUGUCUUUAAUAAAAUAAGAAACUGAUUUUGGGUGCUAAAAUAAACACUAAACACUACUUGUUCAUGGCGACUAUGUGUAGAAAGACGAUCAUGGUGGAGAUCCCGACGGUCGACGUGAAGCCGGGAUGGAAUAAGGGCACGAAGAUCACCUUCCUAGAAGGAACAAUCUGAUUUUUUCGGUACAGUUAUGUGUUCCAAAAAGUUAUUGUGAUGUAAUUUUUAUAUUAACACUAAUCUAUGAAGUUAUGUUUCCAGACAUUUCACUUUUUGCAUCAGCUGAGGCACAUUUUAUUUUCAAAUAAUUUCUGAAGUAAAAGUUGUGAAUGAACUGCAUGAUCUUUCAUGUGUCUGAAUUACACUUGAAAUAAAAAAUUAGAUAGCAAGGUGCGAGGAAAUGUGAGAAAAGUUGUCCAAAAACCGAAGAACCUUUUUUACUUUUCUUCCCAUUACAUGUUUGCUAUUUACACUAUGCUUUAUUUUUACUAUAAUGUCAAAAUUAUCAUGUUUUAAGAUGAAUGGUAAAUCAAAUAAGGAAAAAACUAUGGUGGCCAGAUUUGGUAGCCCUUAGCCCUUAUCAUGUUUUUAUAUCCAAAAUACUGUUUGAUCCUUGUUCAGUCUUAUUUGCAGCGUAAACUAUGUACAGUAAUCAUUAGACCAUCUUUGAAGAUCUGACGAACAAAAGCAGAAUGGUUCUUUCUAUACUGUUCGACCCCCCCUCCCCCCCCUUGCGUUCUCUCGCAGGGAGUGGCUAGCGCGCAACACUGCCAUGCUCCUCUGCUGCUCCGUCAUCACAGGGUGGGACGGCGACCUCGCCUUCCUGUUCAUUGUUCUGUCGGUAGCGACGUUCUUUGUCCAGGAUCAUCCGGACAGGGAGGUCCUCCAGGCCAUGCGUCUAGGCAUGUACUGCAACGCCGACCACAUGGCUAAGAUGGUCGUUGCCGCAACCGAGUUCCGUGCUCUCCGUUCUUCAGUAAAUCCAGAUGUGGAAACUAAAAGGCGAGUACCAUGGGAUCAUGAAGUAUAUAAAGCAAAGGAGGAGGAGUGCCAUCUACUCUCCAGCAAGAUAUUUUUUUUUGCUGGGGAAUGAACGAAUUGAAUGCAAGAUUGCAUUGUUACAAGGACAGAGAGUGGACCACCACCUUCAGUUUCUCAGAUUCCCUGUUUGCAUUCGCCAUUCUCAACAAGCACCAGGAUGUGGCUUUGGUUCUGCACAAACAAUAUCUUCAGUGGUUUCUAGAUCAAGCCCUAUGUUCUUUAUCUGAACAAUAGACAUUGUAAUUCUUCCAUCCAUUACCUCUGAAAGUCAAGAAUCGAAAGAAAAGUCAUUGGCAUAUCUCUGUCACCAAGGAAGGUUCGUUAGACAGAAAAAUGACCUCUGGUUAUGUAUGAGAUGAUGCAAUGCACAUAUCUCUGAAUGAAGCACAACAGGAAUUUACAUCCUGUAAUGCUAACUGUUGAUCAUUCUUCUCAGAAGUAUCAAGUCAUUAUCUCAUUUGCCCCCUA